rnacentral:rRNA from 1 species
GAUGAACGCUGGCGGCGUGCCUAAUACAUGCAAGUCGAGCGAACGGACGAGAAGCUUGCUUCACUGAUGUUAGCGGCGGACGGGUGAGUAACACGUGGAUAACCUACCUAUAAGACUGGGAUAACUUCGGGAAACCGGAGCUAAUACCGGAUAAUAUUUUGAACCGCAUGGUUCAAAAGUGAAAGACGGUCUUGCUGUCACUUAUAGAUGGAUCCGCGCUGCAUUAGCUAGUUGGUAAGGUAACGGCUUACCAAGGCAACGAUGCAUAGCCGACCUGAGAGGGUGAUCGGCCACACUGGAACUGAGACACGGUCCAGACUCCUACGGGAGGCAGCAGUAGGGAAUCUUCCGCAAUGGGCGAAAGCCUGACGGAGCAACGCCGCGUGAGUGAUGACGGUCUUCGGAUCGUAAAACUCUGUUAUUAGGGAAGAACAUAUGUGUAAGUAACUGUGCACAUCUUGACGGUACCUAAUCAGAAAGCCACGGCUAACUACGUG